rnacentral:snoRNA from 1 species
UAGCAAUUAUGUCGUAAUUUGGGCCUUACUCUGUCCUCAUCGACAGUUGCCUGGUGUCACUAAGCUGGUUCAGAACGGUGACGAAAACUCCUACUGACCAA